GGGGAAGAAAGUGAUGCGUUAGUCUCCGCGACGGCCUUUAGCCGGGCCUCUUGUGUCAGCGCACGUGUGGGUGGCCAUUCGUAGGCAGGGAGCGGAAGGGUGAGGGCGACCAGGAGAGAUCUAAGGGGCCAGAGAGGGCGAGUAGGGGACGGUGCAGUCCCGUGUCUCAGUGUUUGGAAAAGGGCUGGUUUGUGACUGCGGAGGCUUUCUCGGGUUUGGAAUGUCUCCCUUUGGUGAACCUUCUGAAAAGCGUUCAUUUGGUGGGGCUGGAGCAGAGAGAUUGGUAGUGUGAUUGAAGUGCUUGACUUCCAGGAGUCUUCCCUUCCCUGGCUGAGUACGCAGUUGCCAGUACCCUGAAGGGAGACAAGAACGAGCUCCAGAGUCACCUGGUGAAGCAGGUGAAGCUGUAUUUAACACUGACAGAUUAAAAAAGUGUGUUGUGAUGCUUAAUGCCUGUGAAGGAGAGGCUCUCUGCACUGAUGGAUCAACUGGAAGAGAAGGGUGAGCUUUCUCAGGUCUGGAAUGCUGCCCUUUGCUGAACCCCCAGAAGAGCCUUCAUUCUGUAGGGCUGGGCAGAGCAGGAGGUGGACCGGUGACUUGACUUCCAAGGGCCUUCCCUUCCCUGGCUGAGGACGCUGCUGCCGGUGCCAUAAAGGGGGACCAGAGCGAGCUCCUGAGUCACCUGGUGAAGCACCUGCAACUCUCUUUGACACAGAAUGAGGGGAAGCUGAAUUCCCACCAGACCCUGAUGCAUCAGAAGGUGGCAUAGGACUAAAUUGGCACAUGGGAACGGAGUGCACUGCUUCAAAUCCUUUUGCCAGCCUUAAGUGACUCAACUGGUGUCUCUGAGGCCUUUAGCACAGGUUCAGAAGACUUCACAGUUAAACUUGAAUGUUCCACUAUUUCAAAACUUCACGAAAGCAGAAAACCAUGUGAUAAGCAACAAACUGUCCCUUAUGUAUAUCUGCGCUGACAAAGAAUUGGUUUUUGUGGUUGUAAAACCACCUCUGAGGAAGAACAAAGUCAUAACAUGUCUGCCAGCUUUGACUGGAUUUCAUUGGGUUUCUUCAGCCAGACUCGGGACUGUGGCUUGUGUAUCAUGUCCUCAGCAUCUUCUCAUUGUAUCAAGCUGAUUUUUUUUAUAAAAAAGUAAAGCUUAAAUGUAAA